GCCGUCGCCGCCGCGCUCCCCCCGUGCCCCCCCCCUCCCCCGCCCUCCCGGCCCGGGCCUGCCAGGCCGAGCGUUUACCGCGGGCUGGCGCCGAGGCGCGCGGUCACCGACUGCAGGCGGCGGCGGCUCCGACCUUCCCACGGGCCCGGCAAGGAGGGCGAGGGGGAGGGGAGAGAACUUUUGCUGUGGCAGCUCCGGCGACAGCUCCCACCCCUGCGCCUUUCUCCUCUUCCUCCCCCUCCUCCUCCUCCUCCUCUUCCUCCUUCUCUUCCUCCUCCCAGAGCAGUCGAGAAGCAGACAUGGCGCGGCUAGAGCGCCGCCGCGGUCGCCGCCGCUUGCCUGAGCGGUGCAUUGUGGGAAGCCCCGCACACAGGAAGCGCUCGGCCCUCGCCUGGCACGGAGACCUGGCUGCGAGACCCGGAGCGUGGCUUUGAUUCCGGCGCCUGCGUGUCAGCCGCGCAGCGUGGCCGGGGAAGCUGGCCUCGCGCCGCGGUCCCCCUGAUGGGCCUGCGAGGAAGACGCUUUGAAAUAGAGCGGAGCUGGGAAAGCUCCUGCGAGGGACGACCGCCCCUUGAGGCUGGCCUCUUACCUAGCCUCUCAUCUGCGACCCCGAGGGUCACGUUUUCCGGAAGAUGCAAUCCUGCAUCCUUGAACCAGAAGACCUUGUUGGAGUCUGCAAACUGUGAUGCAGGGUGUGAGCACCGAGAAAAAGCAAAGAGAUCCCAGUCGGGACUUUGUUGGGCCCAAACCUCGUUCUGCGCACCAACAAAGAUCUGAUUAUGAUCUAUACAGACCUAAGAUUGCUCAUUUGUCCCGUCUUUUGGAGACUCUUUGGUGACCUUCAGUAAAUCGUGUCCUUCCUACCCUCAUUUAACUAACAUCAAGCCCCUGAGUUGCCUGUACAGAGGGAUGGCUUACAAUUACGCGCUUUUGUACCACACACUAAUACAAGGUCAGCUAGGUAAUGUAAUAUGUUCAGUGAAAGUUGAACGGUUAUCAGGACUUUAUGAGUUGGAGCACCUUCAUUAUGAUUUCUUCAUUAAUCUCAAGGCUUUAUUUAGCGCCUCUCUGCAAUACUUAAACAUAACCUUUGGGGUGAGAGGGAAAGGACAUUAAAAUACCUACAGAACUAUUUCUGGAAUCCUCCUUGUCCACACCCACCUCCCCACCCCUGAAUGUUCAUUUGAAUAGUGCUUUUUUGGCAAAACUCCAAACUCCCGAAUUACGCACUUGUGAUGACACUGAAUUAGAUUACUGUCUGCAAGGUUAAUAUACCCCUCAGGUACUAACCUUAGUAUAUCGUGAUGCCCGUUUGAAAUAGCUGAGGCUCAGAAGUUCAGAUGAAUUCAGACACGGGUAACUAAGAAAUGCAAGGAUGAGCCAACAGCUCCGCAAUAAGCUCCAUUCGAUUUCUCUGCUAAAAGAUAUAAAUUUUAAUAAGAUGACAGUGCAUAUUCUGAAUGCUAAUUGUAACAAAACAGUGAUAUAAGCUAGAGCAAGGGACACUUCUCUGGAGGACAGCCUUCUGGCAACUUCUAGCAACUGCAAUGGCAUCAAAUUCACAUGUUUAAAAAAAAAAAAAAACCCUCUGGCAGCAAAGAAGCAGACUUUCAGUUUUAACCUGUGGAGAAGCUAAUAAUUAGAACUAAAAGCCUAGGGUCAUACCCUAAUGGACUAAGGUGGAUAGGGUUGCCACUAGGAAUAGAUCUAAUUCUUUGUUUCUGAACAUAAUUAAGAGGCAAAGAAGAAAUAACCAUCUUAAAUGGGCAGAAUGAAAAAGACUACAGACUGAGACUGUGAUGGCCAAAGUAAGAAGGCCCUAGAUAGGGUAAACCUCUAGAAAGACUUCUAGCCCCUUUGUUAUCCAUACUGCUGUUGCUUGCCUUCCCAUUGCCAGUCCUAUCCAUUCAGCUUCCUUCCUUUCCUUCUUAAUUUCUUUUUUUCCCUCUUAAAACAAUAAAGAGGUAACUCAGCAUUUCAGAGUACUUGCCAUCCACUUCAGCGACUUCCUCUUCUGGCCUCCAAGAGCACCUGUACACACACACACACACACACACACA
ensembl:lncRNA